ensembl:lncRNA
CUAGGAGAAAAUUGAAAAUACGGGCGAGUGCUUAAGAUAGAAUGAAAAGAAAGCUAUUGGACGCAAACAUACAAGAUAGACGUCUAAAAAUUUAGAUAGUUCAAAAUCAAUAAUGUUGGAUAAAUUACAGGAACAAAAACUAAGGAAAUUUUUAUAGCCAAUAAGAAUUUAUUGUAAAAGCCCAUCAACUUAUUUCUGGUGGUGCAAAAGUUAGAUCUCAGAAGAUGAGGGUUUUUUUAAAACUGCUGUAGACCAGGACCAACUUAGAAGAAAAUCCGGAAACUAGGAGAGUCAGUUUAAAAUCUCAGCAAAAAGUUACUGAAGGGGACUGAAGUAACUUAAAAGUUAAGAAUGUAUUUGGAAGAGUUAAAAAUCUGAAAGGCCUUAAAUGCGGUAGCGUAGUUUCCUUUGGAAAAUGUAAAGGACUUUAUAAGUGAAUUAAAUUGAAGAGCAAGAAUAACCAUCGAGUUAUUGGACUUUGAGCUAAGAUGAAUGUUUAAAUCCUGAGGACUAGGCGCUAAAUAACAGCUGACGCAGGUGCUACGCAGAAGUGGAUUCAGUGAAGCUAGGAAGACAGGAGCGGCAGACAGGAUUCGGAGUCAGUGUUGGUGAAAACUAGGACUGAGGAGCCAGCGGCAGUUCGUGAAGAUAGGAAAGAGAAGCCCGGGAGCCAGUGCGACUUGGUGAAGGAAGCUAGGAAGAAGGAGCGAGUCCUAACGAUUUGGAGGUGAAGCUAGGAGAGGAUUCCAGGAAGGAGGAAGCCAGUGCGGUGUGGUGAAGCUAGCGUGCGGCUUGGCUUGGCAACCACGCGGAGGCGGCGAGCAGGCAGAGUGGAGGAUAGAUAGAGGAUCCUAGAGCAGCAGCCCAGUGUACGAGCCCUGCAGGGAGAGCCAGUGGUGUGGUAAAAAUCCGUGAAGUCGGCACUAUCGUGGGUUUUUUUUCUCCUGUAACUCAGUAUGGUAAUAUCUCUUAUUAAAUUUUCCUAAUAGUAAUGGGGGAGUUGUGUACUUAAGCAUAAAGGGGAUUUUAUUACGGGGAUGUAGGCCGGUUUUCGGGUGUCGUAGGUUUCUCUUUUUCAGGCCUAUUUUCUCAUGCAUCUUGUCUGGAGCUUUUGAGGGCAGACUUCAAGGCCCGGAGGAAUGGUAGAUGGCAAGUGUUCUUGUUUUUAACCAAUAUGAGGGAUAUCCUGAAUCUGGUAGAACAACUGUGAGACAACUUCAGCAAGCUUUGUAAACAGGUUUUAUAUUCAGUUUGGGGGUAAUGAAGCAUUUCAGUUUUGUGAGUAGAGGGCCUACCUUUAUUUUCUCACCCUGUAUUUUAAAAGUCUUCUAAAUAUGUAGUUUCGGUGUAUAAUUCUGGGCGGGGGGAGUUUUUUUUUGGGGGGGAGCAAAAUAUGUUUUGAGUUCUUUUCCCUUUAGGUCUGCCUAGAAUUCCAAAGGCAAAUGACUCGAGGUAACAGGCGAAAAGAAAAUCCAAUAUCAGGAUAAUCAGAACACUGCAGGUUUACAGUUAUAGAAACUCUAGCACAAGCAGCUUUCACUUUGAGGUCUGUGGCGCAGCUGUCCAUUGGAGUAAUGGCUGGUAGUUUAUUCUUUUUUUCCCCACCCCUUUAUUAAAUAUUUUUAUAAAGUACGUAACUGGUUAUUUUUACUUAAAUAUUUUGGGGGUGGUGUGAACAGGGAAGAGGGUGGGGGAGAAACUUUUUUUUUCUAAGAUUUUCCACAGAUUCUAUAGUACUAUUGACAAACUGAGUUAGAGAAGGAUUGUACUGCUACGCUGUUUGGCACCAACACCUUCAGGGAUUGGAGCAGCUUUUUUCCUUGGAAGAGUAUUCCCAGUGAAGCUGAAAUGUACAGCCCAGUGCAGCUUUGGUUCAUAUUCAGUCAUCUCAGGAGAACUUCAGAAGAGCUUGACUAGGCCAAAUGUUGAAGUUAAGUUUUCAAAUAACGACUUUUAAGAUACCUUUAUUAAAGGGGAGGGGCAAAUUUUGGCGAUUUAUAGUUGGCAGUGGCUUGUGAUGAUUGGGAUGGGGGGGCGUGGGUUUAGGUAAUUGUUUAGUUUUUGAUUACAGAUAAACUCAUGCCAGAGAACUUAAAUACUUAAGGUGGAAAAACUAAAGAAAUCUCAACUUCCAAGUUGGCAACUAACUCGAAAUCCUCUGGUUCUGUUUUGCCCCAAUUUUUGAAUUUAACAGAUGGGAAAGUUGAUGAAGAUUCACUGGAUUUAAAAGAGUAGGGCUUGGGAAAGGAAAAUGACUGGGGGUUGGUCUGGCCCUCUGCGCUGACUUAGAUAAAAACUUGGGGAAUUUUUUUUAAAUGGUAAAGUUCGGAUAUAGUAGUGUGUGGUUCUCUCUUGGAAUAUUUUUCAGGUGAUUUAAUAAAACUUAAUACUACUAUAGGAGCUUCAGAACAAAGGAGGUGGCUUAAUGAUCCUGAAGGGAUUUCUUCUGGUGGUAGCUUUUGUAUUAUCAAUGAGGUCCAGCCUAUCUCCGUCAGUCCCUGGUGAGAACUUGUUCUAUAUACAGGCUCCAAUGUGGUGAAUCAACUUCCAUUGUCAAUUUUGUGCUGCAUUUAAGUGAGCUGCUGCUCCUGAUGAUUCUCCCCACCACACCCUUGUACCAUCUCAAUUAGUUCUCAAGCUUUAAACUGCAUUGAUAUCUUGAUGACUCCUAUAAGUACAUCUCUAGCCCAGAACACUUCUACUGGGAACUCCAGUUUCUAGCAUCCAACCAGCUACAGGUUAUGUCAAGUUCAUAUGUGCAUAAUGGAGUUCUUAGCGAUGGAACGCUACAUCACUUCUGAACAAGCGAUAAGACAUUUCUCCUCCUGUGGGAAGAAGGAAACAAGGAAAAGAAAAAACAACAGGAUGUCUCUUCAGGAAUCCUUCUCAGUUCUACCUACACAAGAGGGAAUAAGUGCCCUGUGAGCCCUGGCAACAACCGUCUUCACAUGAGGAAUUGCUCUGCUCUGUGAAAGGGCUGGAAAAGGUUAGAUCAGGACAGCAUCUACCCUGAUGAAGUCAGGAUGGCACAGCCCAUGACAAAGAUUCUCAUUUUCCCACAUUUCUAUUGAAGAUCAAUCACUUUUCUCACCUGUAGUUGUUUUGUUUUGUUUUUUUUUUUAUGUUCUGUUAACAUAAAAAAUCUAGUUGAUGUCAAAUCUCAUGGGCCUGAAAGCUUUCUGCCUUUCAAAACACUCUACAUGUCUCUAUUCUCAUCCAUUAUUAUAUCUCAAUCUUAAUUCCCUCAAUUCCAAAUCCAUAAAGGAUAACACAGUCCCACCAGCAUCAUAUGAGAAGUACUGAAUAGACUCCAUGGAGAUAAAACCCCACCACAAGGCAGACAGGUUCUUUUCUGUUACAUUCUCCUGGGAACUUUCAUUUAAUAGUAGUAAUUGCUUUCCUUUUAUAGAUAUGUCUAGCUUGCAGUUUAAUUUUUUAAAAUUAAAAAAAUAAUUGUUUAGUAAUAAAUACAUGAGUGCUGAGCUUAUUUUUAAGCAGUUCAGAACAGUCACUCAGUCAUGUCCAACUCUUUGUGACCCUGUAGACAGCAGCACACAAGGCUUCCCUGUACAUCAAGGAAAGGUUAAAAUAAAAGUCAAAAAACUGGUUAAUUCUGGGAGUAGAAGUGGGGAAAUGAAACUGGUAUGGAGCACAGGGUACUUUCCAAGUACAGUUAAUCUGCAUUGUUGGGUACAGUGGUGUUUCUUGUUAUUAUGCAUACACUAGUUAUAUAUUUUAAUAUAUAUAUGAAUAGUACAUUUCAAAAAUAAAAAAUAGCUUAUUCAU